AGCGUAACAAGGUCUCCGUUGGUGAACCAGCGGAGGGAUCAUUACUGAGUUUACGCUCUACAACCCUUUGUGAACAUACCUACAACUGUUGCUUCGGCGGGUAGGGUCUCCGCGACCCUCCCGGCCUCCCGCCUCCGGGCGGGUCGGCGCCCGCCGGAGGAUAACCAAACUCUGAUUUAACGACGUUUCUUCUGAGUGGUACAAGCAAAUAAUCAAAACUUUUAACAACGGAUCUCUUGGUUCUGGCAUCGAUGAAGAACGCAGCGAAAUGCGAUAAGUAAUGUGAAUUGCAGAAUUCAGUGAAUCAUCGAAUCUUUGAACGCACAUUGCGCCCGCCAGCAUUCUGGCGGGCAUGCCUGUUCGAGCGUCAUUUCAACCCUCAAGCUCUGCUUGGUGUUGGGGCCCUACAGCCGAUGUAGGCCCUCAAAGGUAGUGGCGGACCCUCCCGGAGCCUCCUUUGCGUAGUAACUUUACGUCUCGCACUGGGAUCCGGAGGGACUCUUGCCGUAAAACCCCCCAAUUUCCAAAGGUGACCUCGGAUCAGUAGAAUGUCAU
rnacentral:rRNA from 1 species